rnacentral:rRNA from 1 species
UACGUAGGGCGCAAGCGUUAUCCGGAAUUAUUGGGCGUAAAGAGCUCGUAGGCGGUUUGUCGCGUCUGCCGUGAAAGUCCGGGGCUCAACUCCGGAUCUGCGGUGGGUACGGGCAGACUAGAGUGAUGUAGGGGAGACUGGAAUUCCUGGUGUAGCGGUGAAAUGCGCAGAUAUCAGGAGGAACACCGAUGGCGAAGGCAGGUCUCUGGGCAGGACCUGACGCUGAGGAGCGAAAGCGUGGGGAGCGAACAGG